UAGGGAAUAUUGGACAAUGGGGGGAACCCUGAUCCAGCCAUGCCGCGUGGAGGAAGACUGCCCUCUGGGUUGUAAACUCCUUUUAUAUGGGAAGAACCGUCCUCAUUGAUGAGUGACCUGACGGUACCAUAGGAAUAAGCACCGGCUAACUCCGUGCCAGCAGCCGCGGUAAUACGGAGGGUGCAAGCGUUAUCCGGAUUCACUGGGUUUAAAGGGUGCGUAGGCGGAUAUGUAAGUCAGCGGUGAAAUCAACGGGCUCAACCUGUUAACUGCCAUUGAUACUGUGUAUCUUGAAUAUGAGAGAGGUAGGCGGAAUGUUGCAUGUAGCGGUGAAAUGCUUAGAUAUGCUACGGAACACCGAUUGCGAAGGCAGCUUACUAUUUCGUAAUUGACGCUGAGGCACGAAAGCGUGGGUAGCGAACA
rnacentral:rRNA from 1 species